GAACCCCUGCUGUGUGCGUGGUAAACCGAUGAUUUUUUGAGCCAACACUAACACAUAGGGAGCCCGGACUCUGAUUGUGGCAUAUAAGCCUCCAAAGAGGGGACAUAUAAAGCAAUCAGGAGGGCACCCACCUGUUGAGAGGCAGGACUCAAAAAGAUCGGACCACGGCAUGGUGGGGUUUUU
rnacentral:other from 1 species